UUCUCCCGUUGCCCGGUCAUCGAAGUUUCCGAAUUGCUCAGCUGUGUCGGCUGUGCGUGCCCGUGUCCUGUGUGUGCGCGACUCUGAUCUCAACGCUGGACGUGAACGGCAUUUAGCGACGGCAGUGCAACAUCGCGUACUGUGAGCGUGUUCGUGUUGGUUUCAUGAUGGUCUGAAGACUCAAGCGUGCUUGCACCUUCGUGUAUUCGUGUUCGGCCAGCACCUGGUUAGGCACAGUCGGAAAUGCGAACGAUGGUGCUCAAGAUGGCACAUGCAACGCUAUGCAGCUGUGGACACCAGCAGCUUGAUAAGAACUCUUGAAGCUCAUCUGGAUGCUUCACAGAACCUGGGAAGACUGAACACUUUCGGCAAAGCAGCAACAGUUCUGGCCCACCUGUUUGUCUACAAGACGAUCUCUUCUGUGAACACUCCUGUGCCUUACAGUAUACUAUACUGAUGAUCUUGUACAUCUCUCAGUAUUUAGGAUUGUCAGCACUUGGACUGCUGCAUUGUGUUAUGCACGGUGCUGAGUCCAAACUUUCCAAUAACAGUGUGCAUUUGAAAAUUUUACAUGGCUUGAAAAGAUGCUGAAUGUAAACUCAUUUAAUUUACUAAUCAUGGUUCUUGACUGUUUUACAGCCGUUAUUUAUUCCCUGUUCAAUUUUUAUUCAACCUCAUGGCAUGUCCAGUCCUUGGCUCUAAUGUGCCAAGCCACCACCAGUAUUGAUGGGCAAUUUUUAAUUCAAAGCAUGUUAUUGCCUAACUCCGAGGUAACUUUCUUGUCACGGUAUUCGCGGAUUCAAUUUCAAUGUGGCACUUCUGCAUGAGCCAUAAAUUGAGCUGUUGAAGGUGACGAGGAACCAAUUUUCCGGUCGCAUUUCAUGGAACUAGCUGGCAUGUAAAUAUUGUAACCAUUGGUCUACUAUUUAUGCAUAAUAAUACGGGUGAAUAGGGUUGCGAAAUAAUGCCAUGU